UACAGAGGGUCAGCUAAGACUGUUUUCAACUCUUGGAGAUAAAAUUCGAAUUGGAAGUUUGGCUGUGUGUAUCUAGAAGACAAACAUUUUGGAUUUGUGCGUCAGGAUUCUGCCAGAGAGAAUCGGUUAUAUGGUGGUCCUGCAACUGGUCAGCUUUUCAUGGCUUAUAUCAAGAAAACUAUUUUCCCCAUUCUUGAAGUGGAAUUGAAUGAAAUCAGUCUCUCCAAGAAGCCGGAAUGCAACUGAGAAAUUUAAUCCUCUGAUGACACAAUUGCAAACAUGUGCUUUGUUAGGCCUGAUUUUUAUUUUUUAUUUAUUUUUUAUUUUUUAAUUUUUUAUUUUAUCACUGUCUUGCAGUAGAAAGCAUGCAAUUCUCAAGAUCAUAGUUUUGUGACAGAGAAACAAGAUGUGUUACACCCAAAGUGCUGUCUUGACCCUGCAUUCUUUAAUUCACAGUGGGAUUCAUAACGCUGCUAGUUGCUUUGGUUGGCUGAAGUUCUGAGAAGAAAAGCUUUCUACAAUUUGCAAGAACUGAGUCUUCACCAUAAAACAUGCUUUAAAAAAAAAAAUCAUCAUUUUCCAACAGAAAUCUAGUUUAUUGUAAGGUUUUGAUGGCUUGUAGUCAUAACACUGUGAGAGGUGACAGACAGUAGUGUGGAAUAUUUUCUUUUACAUGGAAAGAAAUAGCAUCUAAACUGAGCAGAAACCACUUCAGCUGCAUGUACCAAUGCUCAGAAUCUCUGUAGAUAUGACCAUUUGGUUUUAGGUUCUUCAAUGUCUUUCUAGCUGUAGUAUUAAGAAAAUGACUAGUAAUUUUUAAAACAUUGUGCUUUUCUUUUUCCUAGCAUGGUCAAUUAUAUAUACAUGUACGUAUAUUUUUUUUGUCAGCUAUCAUGCUUUCUUCUCUUACUAUUCUGAAUAAUUUAUUUCUGACUCAUGUCCAAACCCCUCAUUAUUUUAUUGCCUGGCUUACUUCCAAAACACUAGGGAUUCACAAAACUCUGUGCUACAUGAUGAUGAUAUGAGGUAACUAUCGUAUUCCUGCACCUGCUAAAAUAGCAGCUUGGUGACAAAAUUGCAAUGUAGUAAUUUGUUCUUUGAUUUCUUCUCCUAUAAUGGGCUCCUUGAUUGGAAUAUGUUACAAAUAUUUUCAGAAUAAAUAAUUUCUAAAACGUAUUGUUUAAUCUAACACUUCUUGCUCCAAAUAAAGGUAAAUGAUUUUAAGGAUUUGCCCAAGGAAAUGUUCUCUUGGCUCAGGUGCAAGCAGUUGUUGGCUUCUGAAACAUUCUUUGCCAAGUAAGUGGCAUGCAGCACAGAAGGAGUUGAACUGCAAAAGGUGGUUAGAGAUGGGGAUGGAGCUCUGCUGAAAUUCAAGGCAAGGCUGCAACAUUAUAAAGCAGGCUGGGGAACUUUGUGUACCAUUGGAAGCCUUGGGUCCUUAACCUAAUUAUGCUGUGAUCCCUCCAGAACUGACUAGCAAUGUAUUUAAUGACCCCUUAAUACUCCUGUACUGAGAAGUCUGUGCUGUGCUAUCACACAGACUCUUAAGAUAACUAUCUCAAGACCUGUAGGGAAUUACAUGAAUGGAAGAUAAUGCAUUAGAAAUGCAGAAAUUAGAGUUCUGUUAUGUUGUCUUUCAAAUAAAUGUGAAACUUGGGUUUGUAACGUUGUGGUAAUGGAAGCAGUUCUGUAAAGCUCCCAUCUCUGGAUUCUGCCAGCAGUAGCUGAUAAAGCACAGAAAUAAGUAAUUACACUAAUUAAAAGUAGAG